UACGUAGGGCGCAAGCGUUGUCCGGAAUUAUUGGGCGUAAAGGGCUCGUAGGCGGUCUGUCGCGUCGGGAGUGAAAACUCAGGGCUUAACCCUGAGCCUGCUUCCGAUACGGGCAGACUAGAGUGCGGUAGGGGAGAUUGGAAUUCCUGGUGUAGCGGUGGAAUGCGCAGAUAUCAGGAGGAACACCGAUGGCGAAGGCAGAUCUCUGGGCCGUAACUGACGCUGAGGAGCGAAAGCGUGGGAGCGAACAGG
rnacentral:rRNA from 1 species